UGAGGAAUAUUGGUCAAUGGGCGCGAGCCUGAACCAGCCAAGUCGCGUGAGGGAUGAAGGUUCUAUGGAUCGUAAACCUCUUUUAUAAGGGAAUAAAGUGCGGGACGUGUCCCGUUUUGUAUGUACCUUAUGAAUAAGGAUCGGCUAACUCCGUGCCAGCAGCCGCGGUAAUACGGAGGAUCCGAGCGUUAUCCGGAUUUAUUGGGUUUAAAGGGUGCGUAGGCGGCCUUUUAAGUCAGCGGUGAAAGUCUGUGGCUCAACCAUAGAAUUGCCGUUGAAACUGGGGGGUCUUGAGUAUGUUUGAGGCAGGCGGAAUGCGUGGUGUAGCGGUGAAGUGCAUAGAUAUCACGCAGAACCCCGAUUGCGAAGGCAGCCUGCCGGCUCCAGACUGACGCUGAGGCACGAAAGCGUGGGUAUCGAACAGGAUUAGAUACC
rnacentral:rRNA from 1 species